GACGAACGCUGGCGGCGUGCUUAACACAUGCAAGUCGAACGGAAAGGCCUGCUUUCCCUUGUGGAUUGCGGGUACUCGAGUGGCGAACGGGUGAGUAACACGUGAGUGAUCUGCCCCCAACUUGGGUAUAAGCCUGGGAAACUGGGUCUAAUUCCCGAUAGGACUGCAGGGUGGUGCCUGUGGCAGAAAACGAUUUUCUAGUGGUUGGGGAUGAGCUCGCGGCCUAUCAGCUUGUUGGUGGGGUAAUGGCCUACCAAGGCGGCGACGGGUAGCCGGCCUGGGAGGGUGGACGGCCACAUUGGGACUGAGAUACGGCCCAGACUCCGACGGGAGGCAGCAGUGGGGAAUAUUGCACAAUGGGCGGAAGCCUGAUGCAGCGACGCCGCGUGGGGGAUGACGGCCUUCGGGUUGUAAACUCCUUUCGACCGCGAGGAAGCCACCUGGUUGGAAGGGUGGUGACGGUAGUGGUAGAAGAAGCACCGGCUAACUACGUG
rnacentral:rRNA from 1 species